rnacentral:rRNA from 1 species
UACGUAGGGGGCUAGCGUUGUCCGGAUUUAUUGGGCGUAAAGAGCGUGUAGGCGGUUAGAUAGGUCUGCUGUGAAAACUCCAGGCUCAACCUGGAGACGUCGGUGGAAACCAUCUAACUAGAGUCCGGAAGAGGAGAGUGGAAUUCCUGGUGUAGCGGUGAAAUGCGUAGAUAUCAGGAGGAACACCGGUGGCGAAGGCGGCUCUCUGGACGGUGACUGACGCUGAGACGCGAAAGCGUGGGGAGCAAACAGG